GGGAGUAGAGAGAGAAACUGGUGUUUUUAUUUUAUUUUUCUGUUGGUGUUUUUGGUUCUGUAAUUCUCUCUAACUUUUGAACCUUCACGUCUUGAACUAUUUUUUUUAAUGCACGCAUUAUUCAGGAAAUAUGUGUCGAGACAUUUGUCUGUGUAUGAGUAAAUUCUUGCAGGUACUUGAGAAGCAUCCAAAGCUAAAAAAGGAGAGAUUGAAGAUGCAAAGAUCAGGUGGAAGUUCUGAUACAGACGCAAGUACAACAACGAGUGGAGCAGAGUCUACGACAAUGAGUGCGCAUGCGGAUGAACAAGACGAAGUGAAGAUCGAGACUUGAAGAAAGGAUUGCUGACCAAGUUAGAGUUAAUGCGAAGACAUCUUGGAGGGCAAGCAUGAAGAGACUCACCUUAGAGAAGGGAGAUCUCAUGAUGAG
rnacentral:lncRNA from 1 species